GAAAGCGUGCUUACUGACUUCUGAUAGAAUGAACUCAUUCUGGUAGCUUUCUCUUUGCUUAAGAAUCACAUUCUUGUUCCAGUUAAGUGCAUAUUACUUUCUCAUUGAUUCAGUACUUGUUCUACUAGCAAUUCAUCUGUUAAGUGCAUGUCUAGUUGUUUGUGUAUCCUUGAGAAUUCCCGAAGCUAAACUCUAUUUAUGCUUUUCUGUUUGAGGUGUUCGUUGACUAACUUCAACUUGGCAUGAUGAUGUGGGUGGCUGUUGCGGUGGAACGAAGCCCCAUCGAAUGAAGGUUUCCAAGUCUCCCCUUGCUUGGGAGCAGCUUUGCAUCGGGGUAUUGCUUGCUAGGCACAGAGCAUGGUGGCCAUGACGGCGACGGCAAGGCACCCUAGCACCAGCAGCCGAAGAGGCUGGAGCCGGCACUCUAGAUGGAGGACCUUCUCCAUGUCUUCGAUCUCCCCGUCAAGCUCACACGACAUGGUCUCUCGUAUUCAAGAUUAAGUUCCCGAUUUCUAGAGAAGAAAGAACGAGUGCUUCACUAAUGAACGUAGUCUGGAACUUCUCAAAUUAAAGGUAUGGGCGAGCUGAUGUGAAGAGGCGGAGAGGUUGAGUGGCAGGAGUUGCAUGGCUGGACGGCCGGUGUUGACCAUUUACAUUGGCGCUCUCUUGCCGGUGACGACGACCAACGGCGCCACCACACCGUGCGCCCUCCUGCUCAGGUCUUCCCGUCACCUCGAUCGAGAGGGCACCCCUGCCCCGGCCUAGCUGCAGGAAAACACAAGGCUGUCAUUGUUGUUGUAUGAGUUCGUCGACACACUUCUGCCAUUUGGAGCAGCUGGAGGAGUGGAUGGGUCAGAAAGAUAGGUGGGCAAGUUCUCGGAGCAGUACACCCGCUGGUCCAGCAUCACCUUUUCCUGCUCUGCCAUCUCGUUUGUCGUGAAGGUUCUGAAGAAUGGUGAUGAGGUGAAGUUGCACAGGAAUGCUUUGGGUGUCUUGCAAGCUCCUAAUCUAGCUGAGAAUAUUUGUACCUGCCCAGUGGAGUUUCUGCUGGUGCUACCGACAUCAACUACGACCUGCUGCCCAUGCCUUCGUUGACGGGGACGUCUCCUACAGCACCGCGUCCCCAAUCGGCGUGCCACAGAAGAUCUUGCUUUCUAUCUCGGUUUGUACUAUAUCAAGGUUCUUCAGGAGAAGGACCUGGAUGUUCACACUGAGAAGGGCAUACAACAUAACCAGAAGGUCACCUUCCAUGGAGAAGAUGAUGAAGCGCCUGAUACUGUUAACGGAGACAUUGUAUUCGUCAUCCAGUAGAAGGAACUCCUGAAGUUUAAAAGAAAGGGCAAUGGUCUCUUCUAUGAGCACACCUUGUCUCUCACUGAAGCUCUUUGUGUGUUUCAACUUGAGUCAGCUGCUCAUUAAGUUAAACCCUGGUGACCCACAUCUGUGGACGACGGUUGCCGUGCUGACUGGCUUUGUCUUCAAGAAAGUGCCUGUAUGGUGGUGCUCCAAAGGGCCCUCAGCUUAGAGAUCUUCAGCUUGGGGCAGAUAUUGUGAUGAUAUUCUGGAGAUGAUGAAGCUGAACGCAUGCUUGACAUUGGUUUUGAGCCACAAACAUGGAGGAUUGUGGAUGAGAUGCCUCGUUGCAGACAGACUCUGAUGUACACUGCCACUUGGCCAAAAGAGGUUACAAAGAUAUCUGGUGAUUAUUGAGAGAUCCUGUCCAGAUCAAUAUUGGAAGCAUCGAUGAACUUGCUGACAACAAAUCCAUCACAGUUUUAAGGCAAGCACCUGUCCAAGGCAUGGUAUUUAUUUGUUGCCACUGGCUUGUUGAUUUUUGCUGGUUCUGGCCUAUGGAUCCCAGCGUUGUGCCUUCGAAUUCAUGUAAUGCCGCUAUGAAGCAGCUUCAGACAUUAGCUCAGGAGCCUCAUCGAUGCAGAGCAGUGAACAGCUCCCAGUGCUUUUGGUUUAUUCUGUGCCCUUUAUCUACCUGCCAGGUGAACAGACCGCCGCAAGCCCUGGAGCAUGCCUGUACUUUGUCGAGACCUUCCCAUGCUCUCAUACUUCCUUUUCGGUGAACCAUGUACAUGAAGUCGAACAAGGACUACCCUAGGAUUGUCGCCCAGCUUGGCAGCGUGGGUCUCUGAGCUCCUGCUGGUGGUUGCCUGCCCGGGCUGUUGCUACUGGCGUCCACCUGGAGCUGGCCAUGUUCGCUGGCCAACCAUCAACUUAGACUACUUCCGCCUCGGUACCGUGCGAUGGCGGCAAGUUCACUGCGGUGCAACCGUGGCAGCGGUGGCUUCUUCGUCGACAC